UGGGCUCGAUAUUAAAUCGAGAAAAUAUGAUUUUUAUAAGUUAAAAAAAUGGUUUCGAAUGCAUGAUGCAAUUAAAAAACAAAUCAUAUUAUUAAACAACAAUAAAUAAAAAAGAAAUAUGAAUAAUAAAGCAUAAAUAUAAAAGAAAGAAAAACUACACCUAGAAGUAUCGAACCCACUACACUAAAGAUCUAGAAGCCACUCCCCUCCACCAAACCACUUACUAACUAACUGAUAUUUUAAUGCUAACUUAAAUGUAUAAACUAAGAUACACUAAAAGAGAAAUAAAAUGAAAAAACUAAAUAAUAAAAAACUGU
rnacentral:lncRNA from 1 species